GGAAGUAAAAGUCGUAACAAGGUCUUCCGUUGGUGAACCAGCGGAGGGAUCAUUACCGAGUUUACAACUCCCAAAACCCAAUGUGAACGUUACCAAACUGUUGCCUCGGCGGGAUCUCUGCCCCGGGUGCGUCGCAGCCCCGGACCAAGGCGCCCGCCGGAGGACCAACCAAAACUCUUUUUGUAUACCCCCUCGCGGGUUUUUUAUAAUCUGAGCCUUCUCGGCGCCUCUCGUAGGCGUUUCGAAAAUGAAUCAAAACUUUCAACAACGGAUCUCUUGGUUCUGGCAUCGAUGAAGAACGCAGCGAAAUGCGAUAAGUAAUGUGAAUUGCAGAAUUCAGUGAAUCAUCGAAUCUUUGAACGCACAUUGCGCCCGCCAGUAUUCUGGCGGGCAUGCCUGUCCGAGCGUCAUUUCAACCCUCGAACCCCUCCGGGGGGUCGGCGUUGGGGAUCGGCCCUGCCUUUGGCGGUGGCCGUCUCCGAAAUACAGUGGCGGUCUCGCCGCAGCCUCUCCUGCGCAGUAGUUUGCACACUCGCAUCGGGAGCGCGGCGCGUCCACAGCCGUUAAACACCCAACUUCUGAAAUGUUGACCUCGGAUCAGGUAGGAAUACCCGCUGAACUUAAGCAUAUCAAUAAGCGGAGGA
rnacentral:rRNA from 1 species